UACAGAGGGGGCAAGCGUUGUUCGGAAUUACUGGGCGUAAAGGGCGCGUAGGCGGCCUUCUAAGUCGAACGUGAAAUCCCCGGGCUCAACCCGGGAACUGCGUCCGAUACUGGAAGGCUUGAAUCCGGGAGAGGGAUGUGGAAUUCCAGGUGUAGCGGUGAAAUGCGUAGAUAUCUGGAGGAACACCGGUGGCGAAGGCGGUUCUCUGGGCCUUACCUGACGCUGAGGAGCGAAAGCGUGGGGAGCGAACAGG
rnacentral:rRNA from 1 species